rnacentral:rRNA from 1 species
CGCGUAGGUGGCCUGGUAAGUCUGUGGUGAAAGCGCGGGGCUCAACCCCGCGUCGGCCGUGGAUACUGCUAGGCUUGAGCACUGUAGAGGCAGGCGGAAUUCCGGGUGUAGCGGUGGAAUGCGUAGAGAUCCGGAAGAACACCAGGGGCGAAGGCGGCCUGCUGGGCAGUUGCUGACACUGAGGCGCGACAGCGUGGGGAGCAAACAGGAUUAGAUACCCUGGUAGUCCACGCCGUAAACGAUGGGCACUAGGCGCUUGGGGGAGCGACCCUCCGAGGGCCGGCGCUAACGCAUUAAGUGCCCCGCCUGGGGAGUACGGCCGCAAGGCUGAA